UACAGAGGGUGCAAGCGUUGUUCGGAAUUAUUGGGCGUAAAGGGCGCGUAGGCGGUGCGGUAAGUCACCUGUGAAAUCUCCUGGCUCAACUGGGAGCUUGCAGGCGAAACUGCCGUGCUGGAGUGUGGGAGAGGUGCGUGGAAUUCCUGGUGUAGCAGUGAAAUGCGUAGAUAUCAAGUGGAACACCAGUGGCGAAGGCGAGUCUCUGGACAUUUCCUGACGCUGAGGCACGAAAGCCAGGGGAGCAAACGGG
rnacentral:rRNA from 1 species